rnacentral:rRNA from 1 species
CUCUUGGGUGAGAGUGGCGGACGGGUGAGUAAUGUCUGGGGAUCUGCCCGAUAGAGGGGGAUAACCACUGGAAACGGUGGCUAAUACCGCAUAACGUCGCAAGACCAAAGAGGGGGACCUUCGGGCCUCUCACUAUCGGAUGAACCCAGAUGGGAUUAGCUAGUAGGCGGGGUAAUGGCCCACCUAGGCGACGAUCCCUAGCUGGUCUGAGAGGAUGACCAGCCACACUGGAACUGAGACACGGUCCAGACUCCUACGGGAGGCAGCAGUGGGGAAUAUUGCACAAUGGGCGCAAGCCUGAUGCAGCCAUGCCGCGUGUAUGAAGAAGGCCUUCGGGUUGUAAAGUACUUUCAGCGGGGAGGAAGGCGACGGGGUUAAUAACCCUGUCGAUUGACGUUACCCGCAGAAGAAGCACCGGCUAACUCCGUGCCAGCAGCCGCGGUAAUACGGAGGGUGCAAGCGUUAAUCGGAAUUACUGGGCGUAAAGCGCACGCAGGCGGUCUGUUAAGUCAGAUGUGAAAUCCCCGGGCUUAACCUGGGAACUGCAUUUGAAACUGGCAGGCUUGAGU